rnacentral:rRNA from 1 species
GACGGUAAUCAUGCGAAUAUAGAGGCGGCUAAUUACGUGCCAGCAGCCGCGGUAACACGUAAGCCCCAAGCGUUGUUCGGAAUUAUUGGGCGUAAAGGGCAUGUAGGCGGUUAUGUAAGCCUGAUGUGAAAUAUACGAGCUUAACUCGUAAACUGCAUUGGGUACUGCGUAACUUGAAUCACGGAGGGGAAACCGGAAUUCCAAGUGUAGGGGUGGAAUCUGUAGAUAUUUGGAAGAACACCGGUGGCGAAGGCGGGUUUCUGGCCCGAUGAUUGACGCUGAGAUGCGAAGGUGCGGGGAGCAAACAGGAUUAGAUACCCUGGUAGUCCGCACAGUAAACAAUGUACACUAGGCGUUGGAGCAAGAGCUUCAGUGCCGACGCAAACGCAUUAAGUGUACCGCCUGGGAAGUAUGCCCGCAAGGGUGAAACUCAAAGGAAUUGACGGGGGCCCACACAAA